AUCGGGGUCCCUGCAUGGAGCCUGCUUCUCCCUCUGCCUGUGUCUUUGCCUCUGUGUGUGUGUGUGUGUGUCUCAUGAAUAAAUAAAUAAAAUCUUAAAAAUAAAUAAAUAAAAUUAUGUAAUAAGUGAUUUCUCAUGACAAACAGGGAAAGCAUUAUUUAUUUAUUUAUUUAUUUGUUUAUUUAAUUAUUUAUUUACUGCAGAAUUUUUGUUAAGGAGCCACAAGAGUUGAGGCAGAAAGGAUUUUCUCCCUAAGUGAGCCUUAGUGACAAAAAAUGUAGAGGAGAAGAUUUAUUCUGCUUGAGAAUGAAGAUCAACUGUGUCAUAUUCAUUUCUUAAUUUCUGGCUUCAUAGUUUCAAGGUCAUGCCUUCAACAACAAAGGUGCUGUUUUGCUGAUCAUUAUCCCAGUGAUCAAGUUUACAAGUUUCUCCAGGUUUGGAUAGCUAUGGACAAGGAGAACUGGAUCCAGGAAUCUGUUUCAUUAAUUUCCUUAUACUUCUGACAUUUUGUGCACAAUACAUACAUGAUUUUAAGGGUUCUCUUUUAGGGACCCUGGAGGAACUCCUUACACAGAAAAAGUAUUAAUGUAUUAAUAGACCAUGUCAGUUAUUUUUUCUAACAUGUUAUAAACUAGAAAGUUGAAUUUUCCAACUUAAAGAAAAUUGAAUAUUUUGAUCGUUAAGUCCCUUGAGUCCUAUACUUGGUUGGAGUUUUAU
rnacentral:lncRNA from 1 species